UAAAAAAAGUAAAAAUGAGUAUAUCCUCGCGGCGAUACUCGGCACCGAGAUUGGGUUCCGAUUAUUAUUAACCGGGAUCGCCUGACGCCGACAAUGUUUCACAGGCGGGGGAUUUUUCUCCCUUGGGUGAGAUCGUAGAAUCGAAGAUCAUCAAUGACUGUGAGUGACGCCGGCAGGUCCUGGUCCUCCGUCCGGAUUGGUUACCUUCAGGAACGAACGGCUAGGCCAUUAGGGAUGCGAUUCAAAGUAUGAAGCCCCAGAACCUUUAUCUUAGGACUUUGUCAAGUGUCAUGGCGCUUCAAUGAUUACUUAAGUGAAGAGUUUCUCCUCUUGAUCUGGAUGAGCUUGUCAAACACACACCAUGGAAAGCUCAGGAAAUGAUCUCUUUCCAUUCCCUUGUUGCAGCGACCCCAGUAAUCAGGAUAAUAUGUAACAUGGUACCAAGCUGAUGCUUUUGCUGAUUCUACAUCAUUGAUAUCAGGCUUCAUAUCCGACUGCAUUCCCAGCUUCUCAUCAAACCAGGUCCUGGCUUCCUUUCUCAGUGCCUUUAUA